CUGACGUCUGUCCUCCGGGCCCAGAGGCUGGGCUGCAUUCAUCUCCUUCCUGACUGGAAGCGGGGCCAGGAGUGCUGCUAGCCAAGGUCAGUGGUUCUCCUGCCCUCUUGGCCAUGAUGAUUGGUUCCAGGAGCCACUUGUCAUCUGAUCAGAGUCAUCAGAGUAGACAGACGAAUUCAUGGGAGCCAUCUGUGUAAAGGAGUUGCAUUUUGGAGACGUGCCAUGGUGUCACCUCUGUGUCACUGGUGCUCCAUCAAGCGACCUGAGUGACACCAAUGAAGGCAGAAUUGAGAGAGGCAGACAUGGAGCUCUGAGGAGCUCACCUGGGCACCUGGAUCAAACCACACCUGAAGCAAUCCACAUGUACUCUUCACACUCAUUUUUGUUUUUGCUGUCUCCACUCAGCUCACUCUUUCCCUCAAGAGACUGACAAGACUGACAGUCUGGUGGGCUCAAUGGCCAGGCUGGCACCCCAGACAGCAGCCUUCUUCCUUCCUUUUGGGCACAGCCAUUGAGUGGCUUUUGCAGAUGAGGAGAACAUCACCUGACCUGUCUGUGAGGACCAGAGGUGAGAAGACCCAGACCUGGAAACCAAUCUUUCUUAAGCUUGAGUAACUCUCUAAGGACUUCGGGUAUCACCUGAAGUGUCCUGGGAUGGUGCCAUGGAGGAAAUGAAGAUGUGGGAGCCAGUGCGGCAGCCAAGCACAGUUGUCUUCUGCCCUGCUGGUAUAGCCAGGGGCCUUCAGGCAAGUUCGUCCACCUCUCUAAGCCUUUCCCUGUGUCCUAUGGAAAUGAGACCUCCCCUACCCUCCAAGAUGAGAUCAUCCCAGGUCAACUGACAGCCAGGCCUUCCCCUGGACAUGUAAGCAGCCCAGAUGAGUGCAAAAGAACCAGCCAACCAAACCUAAUCUACACCACCAACUGCAGACUGGUGAGUUCAGUAUGCACUUGUAAUUUAUACCAGUACAUUUAGGGAUGUUUGUUCCACAGCUUUACUCUGGCGAUGGUGACUGAUACUCCCUCACCUGUCUGCUAAUUCUAUCUUCUAGAUAUCUCCUUGUUCCCCUCCCUACCUUCCUCCUUCCUGGUGUCACUCUGAUCUAAGUCACCAUCAUGAUUAAUCUCAGUUGUCACCUUGAGAUCUAGAUGAGAUCUAGAAUCACCUCGAAGAGGAGUAUCUGGCUAUGCUGGGGGAUGGGGUCAUCUUGACUAGGUUAAUUGAGGUGGAAAGCCCUCCCACUGUGGGACAGUGUCUUUUGUUAUAAAAGGAAACUUCAAGCUCCUGUCCAUCAGGAUGAACUGCAACUGAACUGUGAGCUAAAAUAAA